rnacentral:rRNA from 1 species
UCGCAGAGGGUGAGAAUCCCGUACGUGGGCGCCCGUCCCCGCCGUGUAAAGCCCCUUCGACGAGUCGAGUUGUUUGGGAAUGCAGCUCUAAAUGGGAGGUAAAUUUCUUCUAAAGCUAAAUACCGGCCAGAGACCGAUAGCGCACAAGUAGAGUGAUCGAAAGAUGAAAAGUACUUUGGAAAGAGAGUCAAAUAGCACGUGAAAUUGUUGUAGAGGAAGCGCUUGCAGCCAGACGUCCCCGUAGUCGCUCACCCGGUCUCCUGACCGGGGCACUCUUCUGCGGGGAGGCCAGCAUCAGUUUGGGCGGUCGGAGAAAGGCCUCUGUC